UUCUAUGGCGGCUGUGUGCGGGCGGACUUCGGUUCGGCCGGGUUGAUCUCUUACCGGUUUCUCACUCCGUACAUAGCUGCCACCUCU
rnacentral:antisense_RNA from 1 species